AAAUUGUAAUUUCAAAAUGCAUUGCUAACAUAAAUGCAAAUGGUGGUUUAUUGGAAAGAACAUAACAAAGGGUGAAAGUCCCAUGUUUCAUUUGUAGUUUUUGUGUACGGUGUGCAUUUAAUGAAUCACAUUCUUUGACAAUGGAAUGUAAACUGAGUGGUAAAUUUCAUUUAAAGAUCAAUAUGUUGUUGAAACUUAUAGAAAACAAAUACCAUGAGGGAAAUAUGAAAAGGAUUUUGAAAAGAAAAUUAAAAGAGUUUGCAAUUGCUAAAUAGAUAAGCAAACAAAACAUACAUGUGUGCAAGAUUGUUGUAAUUGUUUGUAUUCUGUACAUGUGUUUUACAAUUGUUUUUGUUUACUUUGCCAAUAUUCACAUUUGGAAUGAUUACCCUUGGGUAUGAUUGGAAUUUUGUUUGCUAACAAAGGAAUGUAUUUCGGAAAAUCAUUUUAAAUUUG
rnacentral:rRNA from 1 species